rnacentral:rRNA from 1 species
GAUGAACGCUGGCGGCGUGCCUAAUACAUGCAAGUCGAGCGAACAGAUAAGGAGCUUGCUCCUUUGACGUUAGCGGCGGACGGGUGAGUAACACGUGGAUAACCUACCUAUAAGACUGGGAUAACUUCGGGAAACCGGAGCUAAUACCGGAUAACAUAUUGAACCGCAUGGUUCAAUAGUGAAAGGCGGCUUUGCUGUCACUUAUAGAUGGAUCCGCGCCGUGUUAGCUAGUUGGUAAGGUAACGGCUUACCAAGGCAACGAUACGUAGCCGACCUGAGAGGGUGAUCGGCCACACUGGAACUGAGACACGGUCCAGACUCCUACGGGAGGCAGCAGUAGGGAAUCUUCCGCAAUGGGCGAAAGCCUGACGGAGCAACGCCGCGUGAGUGAUGAAGGUCUUCGGAUCGUAAAACUCUGUUAUCAGGGAAGAACAAAUGUGUAAGUAACUGUGCACAUCUUGACGGUACCUGAUCAGAAAGCCACGGCUAACUACGU